AAGAUUUUAGGUUAAUAAGACCAUGGGCCUUCAAAGCCUAAAGGGAAAGUAUGUUUCAAAUCUUG